UUCAGACUACUAAAACAAAGUACUAUAGACUAGGUGGCUUAUAAACAACAGGAAUUUAUUUCUCAUAGUGCUGGAAGCUAAGAAGCUAAGAAGGACCAAGAUGCAGGCAGAGCAGGUGUCUGGUCAGGCCCAGCUGCCUUGUUACACAUGGCCAUUGUCUUAGUGUAUCCUCACAUGGCAGAGAGCAGAGAGAGAGAGAGAAAAAAAAAAACAAGCACUCUCAAGUCUUUGAUAAGAGCACCAAUCCCAUGUAUGAGGCCUUUGCCUCAUAACCUCAGUACUUUCCAAAGACUAUACCUCUUAAUGCCAUCAUACUGGGAAGUUAGAUUUCAACAUAUGAAUUUUGGAGGAAUCCAACUAUUCAGUUUAUAGCAGACUUCUUGUGAUUUAAGGGAGUGCUGCUUAAUCCUAAUGCAUACAACUGAGAAGACUGUAAAAGUGAGCAUUCUGACUUAGCAGAUUUGAAGUGGGGCUUUAGUUUUUUGCAUCUCUAAUAAGGUUCUAGGAGAUGUUGCUGCUGUUCGUCCCUGAAUCACACUUUGAGUAGCAAGAGUUUAAGAUUUUCUGCAAUAAGGGAUUUUUUUUUCAGUAGACAUAACUGAAAGAUGUGGAUUUGAAGUCACUGGGAGCUGCUGCUUUCUCUGCUCCUCACCUCUUCCCAGGGUGCAGACCUCAUUUUCUGAGAUUGAGAGAGAUCCAAUAAUGAGUGUCACCUGGGUUCCUUCUCCAUGGCUCAGUCAUGAAGAUGAUGACGAAGACACACUGUAAUGCCUGCAGAUCUCCUUCUUGGUGACAUUGAUUAGGCCAGAGAUGGUGGAUCCAUUCAGGGAUUUCUCAGACUCAGCCGGGGAAAAAAAGCAGGUUUUAAAAACGUUUAUGAAAAAUGUUUGUGAAUUCAGAAAAACAGGAUUGUAACUUUAGAUCGUUUAUUAAUACCUAAUGAACACUUUUCUUAUCUAUAAAAUUAUUGAAAAACAAUAAUUGUAAAGGUACUGGUGUUUUAUCUUUUCUCUAUUUUCUGAUGAUCUUGGAUAUAAGGUCACCUAUGGUGAAUGAGGAGCCAGUAGUUUCUGGAGAAACUUUUAAGAUAAUGUAUGUUCACCUUUCAAUAUAUGGAGAUAGGCUACAUAAAACAUCUUGUAACAUUAAACACACUGGAGUUCACUUGAUAAACAGAGAAGCUAUUUCUAGUAAAACAUCUGAUGGGUGAAAAUAUCUCCAACGAUAAGGUUUAAGCUUCUUUAAUAGUAAAGUGUAUUCUGUAGUAAUAGGCUUUGGGAAAGUUCCAGUGUUUGUAAUAAAGAUGAGUUGAAAAGUUUAAAAUAAAUCAGCAAUAUUAUAUCAAUGGAUAAAGGAAAAAUCAUACCUCGAUAGUACUUGAUAGAGGUUCUUUCAAAUGUGAUUAAAAUAAUAUCCUAUUAAAAGUAUCAGAGUGACAUGAUCUUUAUAAAGUGAACAUUUAUUUUGCUAUGCCCGUGUUUCUGCCAUCAGAGAAAAUAUGAUCAUGAAAAGAAAUUCCUAUAAGUGGCCAUAAAAAAAAUACAUAUUUUACAUUUAAGAGAACUUUUUUUUUUUUUUAAUAAUGAGUGAUACUGUUUAGAUGAAAACCCUUUCCCUCCUAUGGUCUUUGGAACUUUCCUUCUACUAUAUUAGCUGUCUCAACUAGUAUUAGGAGAGUGACGGCACUGACUCCAAAUCUUACCUGUUAAAUAACUCCAUAACAGCAGCUGAAAUUUCUCGGGCCAAUUUUGUACUUAGAGAUUACAAGGUGGUUUCUGCUUCCAUUUGUUAUCCUUUCCAAAUUCAGUUCACUGAUCUACGUACUGAUUCAGCCAAGGCUAUUGUGCUAUUUGUCUUGCCAUAAAUAAGAUGGAUAAACUUUUUAAAAUCUCUUUUAGCUUAAUUACAUUUGAACUCCUUUGGAUUAUAAGAAAAAGAGUACUCCCCUUUCUGUGUCCAUGUGGUCUAUUGGGGGGAAAAGGGGAGGGCCAGUGGGAGGGGGAGGUGGGGAGGGAUAGCCUGGGGAGAAAUGCCAAAUGUGGGUGAAGGGGAGAAGAAAAGCAAAGCACACUGCCAUGUGUGUACCUACGCAACUGUCUUGCAUGCUCUGCUCAUGUACCCCAAAACCUAUAAUCCAAUAAAAAAUUUAAAAAAAAAAAAAAAAAAAAAGAAAAA